UGCAUUUUUGUGAAUUGGGACUAUGUAUUUUAUUCAAAAGGCUUCUGGUCUGUUGGCUGUUCUAUCCUAUCUUUUUGCAGUGUAUUGCUGCAGUACUUGAACCACAGCAGGUGGUAUCCUUAAGCCAGUAUAGGAGCGAAUUAAACAUGGUUUCCUGUAAAAUGCCUGCAUAGUGUGUUAUGAACUGCAAUUUGCCUAUGUAACUGAGUUACAUAGUGCAAACAAACUAGUGAGUAGUUUCAGUGGUUGUCUGACUCACAAAUUGACUGCUUUAAUGAUUUUGCUUAUUUCAAUUUUCAAAGGUCUAAUUAUGGUCAUUACAGAUAUUUGUGUUCUCUCCAUCAUAAUAAUAUGUUGGGUCAAUGAUUUCUCAUGAUUUAUAACUGCUAAUCGCAAACCAGGUGGCACAGGACUAUAAUAAACCACUUUGUUCACUAAAGCAAGUAUUCUCAAAUGGCCUUUUUUAAAAAAAAAUAUUUUUUGUUUGAAAAUUUAGAAAUGUCAGAAUUAAAUAGUAUAAUACCUACAUUUCUUUACAUCCAUCUAUAUGGAUUUUAUUUAAAUCAAAAUGAAGAUGUCAAAGAACAUUUUCCCUGGUGUGGUAUACUGGUGUGAAAAACUGCCAUUUUCAGUGUCCAGGUCAGUGAUAGAUGCUCUUUUCCUAGACAGUUUCUGACCCAACCUAAUUUCAAGUAGUACUUAACAUCUGUUCUACUGUCUCUGGCAUACUUCUGCUGCUACCUGUUAGAGGUCAUGAUCUACAGAAGCUGUCAGUAUAUCUGAAUGUUCAAAUUAAUCCUACUGUGUAAACACAAGAAUUUGUUGAUUCAAGGUUCCACCUUCAUCUAUGAAUUUAUGCAUAUUUAAUGGGUCUUUGUUAUCUUUAAUUUCAAAUGAGACCACAAGAUUUGAGCUUUGUCCUAUUAGACUCCCUAGGCUUUUUUCUUGAAAGACCAAACACCAAGUGACUUUUCUGACUUCAAAGUUCCCUCUUUCGUGUCUACUGACUUGACUACAGUCGGACUGCAAGAGGAUUAAAUAGUUUUACCAGCUCUGGAGAGGCACUUGAACUUGAAUAAUUCUAUCAGAGAUCUGGACCUGAAACUUCCACUAAAUCUAGUGCUUAGCACAAAAACAAACAAACAAACAUAGUUUAAUGAGUUUAAUUAUGUAUAGUUAAUUAUGUGGGUUGUUUUUUUAUUAUUAUUAUUAUUAUUAUUAUUAUUGUUAUUGUUAUUGUUAUUGUUAUUAUUAUUAUUUUAUUUUUAUGACAUAAAAGUGAAGUCUGUUUACAGCAGAGCACAUUGCUAAUAUUCUGUUCCUGACAAGGAGUUUAAUCUUUUCCACUUUUAUUAAUUUCAGGUACAGACAAAUGUGAGAGAUGGGUUUGAAAAGUGGUUCUAUACUCUUUAGUGUCAGUAGUGAUAAAUCAGUGCUAGAUUUACUGUCUAUAAACUGCAAUACAUUUUUAGAAAUUGUGCAUCGUAUAUGAGAAAAGACAAAAUGUGACCAUCAAACAUCUAACUCUUCAGUAGUGCCAUUUUCAACAAAGAAGAAACAAGAAAUAAUAUUGCUUAGUAAGAGAUCUGUGUUGGGAGCAUUUCCAUAAUCCUGGACAACAGUCUGCUUUUCUGUGUUAGAACGGUAGAGUUUCUGUUUUGUUAUAGCUAACUCUGUUCAGUACUUACAAUAUUUGUGUGUGGUGUAGAAAUAUAAAGCAAUAUAUAAAGGCUUUUCUGAAAUGCACAAUGCCAAAAACAAGAGAAGAUAUAUUUAUGACCUGAAAAACUGGGAAAUAUUAAUCUGGACCAAAUCCAUUUGUUUCUGAUUUUUAAUCCAGACAAGAGACCAGAGGUUUUAUCUGAAUAUAGUUUUUGUGUUUUGCUCUUCACUAACCAGAGUUGUUAUCCUUUUGAAAAUACUUCUCUCUCUGAGAGAGAAAACAUUGCCAUCCAAUAUCAAAAGUACACAGAAUUAAUUCGUUUCUUUUAAGAGAAAAACCUCACCAAUUUAGUUACAUCAUAAUCUUUAAUAACAUGUUGCUAAAGGUCAGAAAUAACUAUGACUGAUUUUUUAAUAUAUGGUCAUUUCAUAAACAGGUCACACUCAUUGCUAUGUUUCUUCCAGUUUAUUUGGGGAAAAGUAGUUUGGGAGAUGGCGUGUUUUCUGUCAAAUUUCUUUUUUCGCAGGUACAAAACCCAACAGUCCCAAAAAGUGACACAAAGUGACACACAAGCUAGAAUUUAACAAUCUUACACUUAUCAAAGUCAGUGCAGAAUCAUAAAGACACAUUUAAUAUAUUGUUUUUAAAAUGCAUAAUAUUACUUCUCAGUUGAUAAAAAUAAAUGCCUUUGUGACAGAAAGUGUGUAUUUCUAAAGGAAUGCAAACAUCUUUUAUAUUGAAACUAAAAUGAUUACUUAUUUUAAAUACAUUAUUUUUGUUCCUUGUAUUAAGUAAACUCUUCCAUUUCACUUUGAAAUGACAUAUAUUACUUUAACUAACAUGCUGCCUGGUAAACAUGUGAUUGCUUGUACUAGUAAUUGCAUUUUCAUGGUUCCAAAAACUGAAGUGAAUUUCUCAGGGUAAAAGGUGAAGUGGAUUAAGAACAUCAGCUGAGUCAGAUCAAUGGGCCACCCAGUUAGGUUAUUUUCAAGGUCUAAGAGCAGGCAAUGGGAAGUGCUAAUUAGGGAAAGCACCUGAGCCUCACUGUUUUAUGGGGUCUAGUCUUUGUCCUCUUUCUCUUCAAUAUCUCAGAACCACUGUUUUAGGGUAUUGGAAGGUACUACAAGAAAAGAGCUUCAAGCAGGCAAAGACUUCUCUGGCUUCCUCUGCUAGGAUGUAGCCUUCCUGGCCUUAAAGUUUGAGAGGAAAAAAAUCAGCAUACUAAAGUGCCUUGAAGACACUGCAACAAAACUGCAUGUUUCUCUCUACUGGUCCUUUUAUGUAAAUGUCCAUAUUUAAAGAAAGGCAUGACCUGGCUAAUCAGCAAGAUUUUGCUGCAAAACACAAAAGAGAUCUUCCUCCUUCUGUAUUUUGCUAUCAGAAAAACAAUUGUGGUGGAUCUUCAUGGGGGAUGGCUGGAAGGGGAGUAGUUGGAACCAGAGGUUCUGGGGACUCCCGAAGACCUGCAAUGGGCAAAAAUGAGGACUUCAGAAAAAAAGUUGAGCUGAGAAGCAAGUUUAGUGAUAUGUGGAGUCCAAUAUGCAGUUCCUGACAGAAGAAGAUGUACCAAAAGAAGGCACAAGCACCUUGUAGAGAUUAUUAUAGAAUGACUUGAUGAUAGGGAAAAUUUCUUAGUAUACAAUAUUUUAAGAUUUACUCAUUCCCACUAGGUUUCCAAAACCUCUGUAACUAAUAUUCUCAGAUAUUUUGUUUUUGUGUGCUUGCUUUUUUAAUCUCCCAAAGUAUUGUAGUCUGAUAGAUUUCUUCCUUGCAAGAUAUUGAAUUUGGCAGUUUAAAUAUUACUAUUAAGACAGCUACUGUGUACUGUAUAUUCUGGGCUCCAUCCUAAACUUUCUUAUUCAGACCUGGCAGAUAUAGCUGUUUGCUUACUUUUUUUUUUUUUUUUUUUUUUUUUAAGUUCUGGUGUAUGGUAUUUCAGUAUUUACAUUGUGGUAGCUGAUAUCUGUGAUUAUUAUGAUGUUGUUAUACAUACUUCCUUUUUAUUAAUAUUUUAUUUUGAACAGUAAUUGGAAGCUUGCAGUGUAAUGCCUUAUAUUGCUCUCAAGCAGUUUAUUAUUUUUGUCAAAGUCCCAGUUUGGUGGGUACAUGGAAGCAGUGAAGAUUAGGUUUAUGCUAUUAUGCAGACUUGGCAUUUCUCUGCUCUUUCCUUCCUCCUUCUUGUUUGCCACUAUCCUGGAUCCCCUUUCCCUAACUUUUUCUGUGCCCAGAGGAGGAUUUCAAUGAGCUUACUUGUCAAUCAUCCAGCUGCUGGUGGAAAGUGACCUCUAGUGAUCCCUCGUCUCAAUGAGGAACUACUGCAGAUAACAUGAAGAGUUUUAUUUGUCUGCAAAUUGUAAAAUGCCAAAUGGAAAGUUACCAUGAUAAGCCUCAUACCUUAUUGACAUUCACCUGUCUGCAUUAAUAAACUGAGAUUGACAAAUAAUCCAAAAUCCAGGAUAACAGUAGCACUGGAGGUAGGCUGAAGGGUAGGACGAAAGUCUUUCCUUUUGGGAAGAAUAUAACUGAAGAUUAGGUAGCUCCAUUUCCAUUUGGAUCUCUUGCUGCAUACUGGAUGGCAAAAAAUACAUUACUCUAACUGGACAUUGAUAUAUUCCUAUAAACUUACUUAAUAAAUAUCCCAAAUUGUAUCUGUUAUUUCUGGCAUUAUCCUACAAAAUCUACAGAUCCAUAGCAGAUGUUAGUUUUGAUUUAUUCUGAUUUCCUUUGUUUGGGAGGACAUGGUUUAGGAUAAUUAUUUAAAUUGUUUAAGUAAUUUCUUACUGUUUUAUGGAAGGCUUUAUUUCCAUUACUAGCACUUCAGGCUUAAUAAUUCUAACCUCAGGGUGAGGGAAAAAGGGGAUGAACUUGAGGAAAGCAAGCAACAAUAGUUAAUCAAGUAUACUAAUGAUGCAAAGCUUAUUUUCUUCUGUACCUAAACUGUCUGUGCCAAACUAGGGCCUUGCCUAAGUUAGCAACUGGCAAUUUGAUUUCACUUUGCAAUAUCCAGUUCAAAACUUUCUUAUAUAAUCUUUUACAACUGAAGAAUUACUUGUUUUUGUUUUUAAAAAA